rnacentral:misc_RNA from 1 species
AAAAAGAAAAGAAAAGAGACAUGGUGGGAGUUCAUAAUUUAUAUACAGUAGAUGAGAAUAAUAACCCAAAUAUGGUGUUGGAAAUGGCCUUUUGUGGGUUACAGUUACCAAAUCAUCUUAAGAAGCCUUCUUCGGGCGGUAACGUUUGGCACAGACAAUAUAAACCAACAAGUUCAAGAAGCUCAGUCCAGCCAACAGCCAGAAGAAGAAAUCCAAAUGGCCCUCAUUUAAG